GUCGACCCGCACAUCUUGUGUUUGGUUUGGUUGGUGUUUGGUUCGUUAUUUGCGAGUGUUUAAAAGAUGGAACCAGUGACAAAAAAAAAGUUUCCCCUGUUUGGGAGUACUUUGACUUGAUAACUCCCAAUAAGGUGAAGUGUCUCUUGUCAUCAAGAGAGCUGGGGUACAUGGGAAUACCUCAGCCAUGCUGACGCACCACAGAGCCCUGCAUCAGGACACAGUGUCAGCUGGUUCAAACUCUGGUGAGAAGUCUGAUAUAACGGAGGCAUUGAUUGCCAUGGUAGUGGAGGAUUGUCUGGCAUUCUCUAUUGUAGAUGGGACUGGGUUCAAAGCAUUUGUGAAAUCACUGAACCCAUAUUAUGUACCCCCUACUUGCCAGGCCCUGAAGGAGAGGACGUUCGUUUAUGGCUUGCUUGAGCAUCUAAACAUAAUUUCAGAUUCUUAAAAGGAUCAGGCACCGUUCAACGAUGCAACAAUUGAGUUUUCAGAGGAAAACCGUGUGUCCGGGUCUAAAGUCAUCCCUAUGCUGGUCAUGCUCCAUCAUGCUCUGGAAGAAGAGGAAAUAAAUGUUUCUUCAGUCCACACGAAGCUGCUGAGGCAGAAAGACGACUGACCUCUGAAUGUGCUUCAGCUAUAAGACGCGCUUCAGCCCGUACUUCAGCCUCUACUUCAGCCUCUACUUCAGCCUCUACUUGAGCUUCAUCAUUGCCAUCUGACGUUUUACAGUCACAAACACGAGGAAGCAAACUGUGACAUCGCCUAGACAGAUCCAUUCCGCAAAGUAUAACUCCCACACCUACAUCACUGUCAGUAAAUGCAACAAUCGAAGUACAGAAAUACCUGGCAGAACCAAACAUAGACAGACAGGAGGACCCACUGCAGUACUGGAGAAAGCAAAGAAUUUAUUUUCCAAAUUUAUUCACACUGGAUGUCAUGUACCUUUCCACUCAAGCUUCAUCUGUGCCUUGUGAGAGGAUUUUUUCCAAAGCAGGAGAAAUCCUCAAACAAAAAGCAGAACCGCCUUAG